rnacentral:rRNA from 1 species
AACGAACGCUGGCGGCAUGCCUAACACAUGCAAGUCGAGCGCCCUUUCGGGGCAUCGGCGGACGGGUGAGUACCGCGUGGGAAUAUGCCCUUCUCUACGCAAUACCCUCGUGAAACUGAGAGUAAUACCGUUUACGCCCUGUGGGGGAAAGAUUUAUCGGGGAAGGAUUAGCCCGCGUGGGAUUAGGUAGUUGGUGGGGUAAUGGCCUACCAAGCCGACGAUCCAUAGCUGGUUGGAGAGGAUGAUCAGCGACACUGGGACUGAGACACGUCCCAGACUCCGACGGGAGGCAGCAGUGGGGAAUCUUAGACAAUGGGGGCAACCAUGAUCGAGCCAGGCCGGGUGAGUGAUGAAGGCCUUAGGGUUGUAAAGCGCUUUCAGCUGGGAAGAUAAUGACGGUACCAGGAGAAGAAGCACCGGCUAACUCCGUG